rnacentral:tRNA from 1 species
CGCCCAGGUGCCGGAGGACGAGCCGGCGGGCGGGUUCCUGGCCGGCCUGGAGGGCGGCUGGACGGCGUUCGUCGCGUCGCUGCGGGUCC